ensembl:lncRNA
ACAAGCGAGUGUCCGCGUGGACGUGAGGAUGGGACACACCUUGUUUGGUGCGUUGGGGCUUUUCUUUUGAUGAUGUUUCUCACUUUAUUUUAGUGCUGAAUAUUCUCCUCUACUGUGGACACGCUCAAGAUGCUUUGCUGCAUAUUGAGCCAAACUGGUCGCCUUUAUUUACUGGAGAGAAAGUUACCUUCGUAUGUGACUCAAGGGAAGGAAACGACACUGACUGGAAUUACUCAUUCAGUCGGAAUGAUCAUUUCUUUACCACCAACAGAACAGUGAAUAGAUAUAAAUCAUCAUCUCUAACUAGAGGAGAUAGUGGUGAAUAUCAGUGUGUUGCUGAUCACAAGAUCCGUCCUGUUAGAAGAGAAAGUAAUAAAGUCUCUCUAAGUGUAUCAGGUAAGUGAUCAAAGUUUUACCAUCACGACGAGUUCAUUAAAGCACUUUUAAAUUAAUGAGACGUGUU